rnacentral:rRNA from 1 species
GAUGAACGCUGGCGGCGUGCCUAAUACAUGCAAGUCGAGCGAACGGACGAGAAGCUUGCUUCUCUGAUGUUAGCGGCGGACGGGUGAGUAACACGUGGAUAACCUACCUAUAAGACUGGGAUAACUUCGGGAAACCGGAGCUAAUACCGGAUGAUAUUUUGAACCGCAUGGUUCAAAAGUUAAAGACGGUCUUGCUGUCACUUAUAGAUGGAUCCGCGCUGCAUUAGCUAGUUGGUAAGGUAACGGCUUACCAAGGCAACGAUGCAUAGCCGACCUGAGAGGGUGAUCGGACACCCUGGAACUGAGACACGGUCCAGACUCCUACGGGAGGCAGCAGUAGGGAAUCUUCCGCAAUGGGCGAAAGCCUGACGGAGCAACGCCGCGUGAGUGAUGAAGGUCUUAGGAUCGGAAAACUAUGUUAUUAGGGAAGAACAUAUGUGUAAGUACCUGUGAACAUCUUGACGGUACCUAAUCAGAAAGCCACGGCUAACUACGUG